GAAAUGGGAAAGAAUAACAAUGGACUUUGUGAUGUAACUUUCAAGAACACAGAAGAAUCAUGAUGUAGUAUGGGUUAUCAUGGACAGAUUGACCAAGUCUGCUCACUUUUUGCAAGUACAGAUGGACUACAGUCUGGACAGAUUGGCUAAACUGUAUAUCGAUGAGAUUGUGAGACUUCAUGGGGUGCCAGUAUCGAUUGUGUCAGACAGAGAUCCAAGGUUCACUUCUAGAUUCUAGGGU
rnacentral:misc_RNA from 1 species